UGAGGCGGAGCUAAUCCCUUAAAGCCAUUCUCAGUUCGGAUCGGAGUCUGCAACCCGACUCCGUGAAGCUGGAUUCGCUAGUAAUCGCGCAUCAGCCAUGGCGCGGUGAAUACGUUCCCGGGCCUUGUACACACCGCCCGUCAAGCCAUGGGAGCCGGGGGUGCUUGAAGUGCGUCGCCGCAAGGCGCGCCCUAGAGCAAAACCGGUGACUGGGGCUAAGUCGUAACAAGGUAGC
rnacentral:rRNA from 1 species